rnacentral:rRNA from 1 species
GACGGGGACCCGCACAAGCGGUGGAUGAUGUGGAUUAAUUCGAUGCAACGCGAAAACCUUACCUACCCUUGACAUGUCCGGAAUCCCGAAGAGAUUUGGGAGUGCUCGCAAGAGAGCCGGAACACAGGUGCUGCAUGGCUGUCGUCAGCUCGUGUCGUGAGAUGUUGGGUUAAGUCCCGCAACGAGCGCAACCCUUGUCAUUAGUUGCUACAUUCAGUUGGGCACUCUAAUGAGACUGCCGGUGACAAGCCGGAGGAAGGUGGGGAUGACGUCAAGUCCUCAUGGCCCUUAUAGGUGGGGCUACACACGUCAUACAAUGGAUGGUACAAAGGGUCGCCAACCCGCGAGGGGGAGCCAAUCCCAUAAAGCCAUUCGUAGUCCGGAUCGCAGUCUGCAACUCGACUGCGUGAAGUCGGAAUCGCUAGUAAUCGUGGAUCAGAAUGUCACGGUGAAUACGUUCCCGGGUCUU